rnacentral:lncRNA from 1 species
AAAAUGACGACCCGAGGGAAGGCCGUGGGUGGGGGCCUUCCCUAGGCCGGGGGCCUUAGGCGACCGAGGCGGUCGCCUAAGGCUCGAGUCGGCACUGCCUAUAACAUCAUGCAUGCAAUUCAUGGAGGAAGAGAAUAUACCAUGAAUAACCACACCUUUGCCAGGAAAUUUUUCAACGUUAUUGAUUAGAAUGGAACGGGCAACCCAUAGGAUUCGAACCAUCCAUGACCUGGGUAACCUAUAACAUCAUGCAUGCAAUUCAUGGAGAAAAGGAAUAAACCAUGAAUAACAUUUAGGAACAUAGAAAACACAGUCUUCCAAACACCAAGUCAUAGCCCUGAAAUAAUACAUGCGUCAUUGCAAAUUACAAGUAUCGUGAGGAUUAGUACAUCAAUCACAGAAAUCUGACUAAGAAUAAUCAAUUCAUCCCAUCAUCUUAGGGAUGCAUGUACGGACUACUCUCAUUCGCUAAGUCCUCCAUCUACCAAUACAACAUCAUCAGAUAGAUUGAAGAAACAGUCAUCGGGUGUCACAACACGAAGGAAAUUAUAUGGAAUAUAACGCGCAAGCAUGAACAUACUUGAGGGUGAUAGGGGAAGAAUGGAUGAUUUGCCAAAAUCUUGAAGUGGUUUCUUAGCAUCUUGAAGGGCCAUUUACCUUUUUAAGAAGUGGUGAUGCCAAAGGUUGAACAAUUCCUUCCUAUCCUUGGGUGGACGUCACUUAUGCUCAUUCAGGUGGUAGUGGGUGGAAACAAUACAGGGAAAUAAAGCCAGGCAUUGGUGUGUUUACCCAGCAUCCACUAGGAAAAUCUUCCUUGCAAUCAAUAAAUAAGAUGCUUUAGGGUACACACAAAUGUGCAAGAAUAUUGGAGCCUGUAGGUAUUUGCUACAUAGAAGGACAAAGAGCCUUGCGGGUAUGGGAGACAUAGUGCAUGUUUUAGGACAUGGAAAUCAUUUGCAGAGCCCCCCAUCCAGCACUGACAUCGGUCAAUCUUAAGUUGGGAUUGAUGACUGCCAAUGACAUCUUGGGUGCGACCUUAAUUUCCUACAUGAAAUUGAGCAAUGAUAUUGGUAAUCACUAUAGCCUCCACAUGUGUCCCAUCUGGUAGUCCAAUACCAAGGAUGUAGUCAGAAAAAUGGGGCAAUAGGUUAUCAUAACCAAUCAUCUAACAAAGGAAUUAAUAAAGGAAAUCGAUAGAUCAGUAACUAUACCUUGAAGUAUGGGGUCCAAUGAUGGUUGGAAUAUUUGCGGAUGAAUCUGGGGCUAGCUUACUAUCAUACAUGUCAUGAAUACAACAAAUCACAUAUAGUACUUGGUUGAAUAUCGGCUGACCAUCUCACCAGACCUCACAAUCAAUCCAUAUGACCAUUCUUUGUAUUAUGACCAAUAAAAUGCAAGAACAUGGCCAUUGCUCCUCAGCAUUCAUAUGGGCCAUAUCCCUAAAGGAACUAGCUAAAUUAAGGAAUGCAUGAACAUCGAUGUGCAGUAUUCUAAGCAUGUGUGUAUUCCUAUACAGUUCCCUAAUCCUAGAUGGCUCUCUAGGUAUGUUUCUACCUUUCCUAUGGGUCAAGUAGAGGUAGGCUUACACAGACACAAGAAUGAUGAUGAUGACAACCCUAUGGAUCUUCUUAGGAUGGUAGGAUAAAUCUACAAUGAUACAUUUUUCAUAAACCCAUAAUAAAUCUCAACUCUCAAUUAUAAGUACACGACUUGUUGGACAAAUGUGCACUAAAAUGAGAGCAAAAUC